CUGGCAGAGGGUUCCAGGCAGAGAAAUGGCAUGUGCCGGAGUUGGGAGUGCCUGGAACUCAGAGGGAGUGUGGUGGUGCUGUAUACGCUCCACGUCCUUGCUUUGUUUAGGGGGCCGGGGUUUCCUCUUUAGUCUAUCCGGUCUCUGCUUCCACCGGCAGACAGGGUGGGUUCCUGGGAACUCCCUGGGUCCCAUCAUAAUACACUCGUAUUUCUGACCUUCUCUACAUUUGUUCCAAACUGGAGUUGGAGCUGGGACACCAGGAGGGCAUUCAGCACAUGCUGGGCCUGGGUCUUGUAGUGGGAAGAUAACGAGCUGUGCAGAGGCAGCUGCCUGAAAGGGGGGCCUUGGGCCUUCUGCUGUCACACUGCUCUCCUCUGUCAACUUCUCGUGCAGACACACUAUCCUGUGCUGCGCCAGCAUCAGGUGGCUGUGGGUACUCCCACAGCAGUUUCUUGGUGAGAAACCUGGAAGGUGUGAACACUGGUUCCCCCUCCUCCAGCAAGCCUGCUACUCUCCGAGGUGCACAGGCAGCGGGCUUUGUCAGCCUCCUCCUCCCAGGGUCGGCCCUGCUGGAGCACCACCUGGCCUGCCCGCCUCCCUCUCUCAGGAUGUGCCUGCUCCGUAGAUGUCACCUCCAGGAACAUGUGCAUUCUGCUGGACGCUCUGUAGCCAGGAGGACACACAGCCAUGCUCACAGAUACACUUCAAAUGGAUUUACUUCUGAGAUGUGUUUACAUGCUCCUCAGAAGGUCGCAGAGGACAGUUCAGUUUGGAGCCCAUCUCGGUCUCUAUGAAAUGGAAGAGGGCCAUGUGGACAGUGAGUGAGGUGGACAGUCAACAGAUACCGCAACGCCACAUCUGCGCCAGAACUCCCGUCGGGCCCAGGGACGCUGAGGAGAGAGACCUGGCUCUUGUCCACAAACAGCACCCAGCCUACUGGAGACAGAAAGGCAAACUAGCCCUUUAGGGCAACCUGCAAGAGUAGAGAGCCAGGCUGCAGGAGAGGAGUCAGCCAGGGCUGCAGACCCAGCGUGGGAGGAGCGCCAGAGGAGCAGCGGGAGGAGCUGCCAAGGACGAAGAAGGAAAGCACGAGAAGGCAAGAAGCAACAGCCCAAGGUCACAAGCUCCAAGUGGCAAAGCUGGACUUGAACCCUGGUGGUGGGGCCCAGACACUGUACCCCUCCCUCGUGCUCUGUGGCCCCCCCAUGUGCCCCCCAAACCCCAGUGUGGGAGGGCUUCAGCCUUGUCUCCCUGCCCUGCUUGCACCCUCAGCGGGGGCAAACACAGAACCCUGUGGUCACCAGCCGCAGGACCGUGGGUUCUCAUGUCCG
rnacentral:lncRNA from 1 species